AUGAAGUAAAGAGGAAGAAGAAAUUCCUAAAUAUGAGGAGGAAGAAACCACCAGAUAUGAGAAGGAAGUAAUCCAUUAC